UACGUAGGGGGCAAGCGUUGUCCGGAAUUAUUGGGCGUAAAGAGCGCGUAGGCGGUCCGAUAAGUCGGCUGUGAAAGUCCAGGCUCAACCCUGGAAGCCGGCCGAUACUGUCGGACUAGAGUCCGGAAGAGGCGAGUGGAAUUCCCGGUGUAGCGGUGAAAUGCGCAGAUAUCGGGAGGAACACCAGUGGCGAAGGCGGCUCGCUGGGCUCUACCUGACGCUGAGGCGCGAAAGCGUGGGGAGCGAACCGG
rnacentral:rRNA from 1 species